UAUGAAAUCACGUUCAAGAAGUCUCAUUCAGCACACAUCGUGAUACUUGCCAUCAGUUUACAUGGUAGACCUGAAAAGAUGUAAAGGAGGCAGUCAUCCCUGUGGUGUUUGUGGAGAGGUAUUCCUUCAGAAAUGGAGAAGACAGAAAGCUGUGGAGGCAGACAUUUGCAGCAGAUUGUUUGCAGAUAAUGCUGUUCUUCUCCAUCAUGCACAAGGACUAACCUCUUUAACUCUUUAUCUCCCCACCACACACAGAAAUGCUCCCUUGAUCAGUGUUUAGACUUUGCAGUG